AUGUAGGAUGCUUUGCAUUAGUAUUCAUCAAGUUGAUGCAUUGCAUUAUUACUUGUAUAUGUGGAUUGGACCGAGGCGAUCUCAAUAGCCCAUAAGUCUGUCCUUAUUGUAUGUCCUGUGUGAGCUCCUUUGGGGCCGAGCAUUUACCUUGGAUGAGUCCUGUGAGAGCCCUUAUAGGGUCGGGCACCAUGAGUAGUUAGUGAAAGACCUGUGUGAGCUCCUUUGGGAGCCGGGCACUGACAGAGGGAGUUUUGGGAUCAUGUCCAAUCCGAGAUGUGAAAUGUUUGUGCAGUGAUGCAUCAUAUGAUAGCAUGUUUUAAAUGUGAUUUUUAUAGAUUCCGCUCACUGGGCUUUAGCAGCUCAUCCCUCUCCCUAACCCCAUUUUUCAGGGCCUCAGAGAAGAGAAAGAGAAAAAGAUAGCAAGGAUAAAAGACAUAUGUAAUAGUAUAGUAUAGAAUAGUGGACAUGAAAGAUGUACAGUACAGAGUUUAUGUAAUGUAUAGAAAUGAUGUAAAAGCAAGUUAUAUAGUGAAUUAGAGUAUUGUGCUUGGCCCUAGUGCUUGUUAUUCCUUUGUACAUGAUCCUUUUAUGUUAUAUAUGUUUGAGACAAUGUUGUGAUGAGAGCUAGGCUUGGUGCAUGGUAGUAUUUCUAUCUCUGUAGUUACUGUAUGGUACCAUAGCAGGUAUCACUCUUCGAGUGCAUACAGACAGAGCAUGCAUAGUCCAGGCUUAGUUGAUGAGAAAAGUUUCAAGAAAAGAAAAGAUAGUCAAGCAAAGAAAGAAAAAAAAAAAUAAUAGAGAAGAGUAAGUAACAGUUUUAAGUUUAAGUGUGAUCAUGUAUGGGAUUUAUCAGGUACACAGAGUUGACAGUAGGCUUACUACGGGUCCC
rnacentral:lncRNA from 1 species